AGUUGUGGUUUUCCUGUUGACUGAUGUGCUGACCCCAGCAAGUGGCACCAAAGUGAAGGCUCAACUAUGGGGAAGGCAGAGAAGGACACCUCCUGGAAUGCUCAGGAAAAGUGAAAGUGUUGGCAGUGACAACUCUCAGAGUGAAGACAACAGUCAUGGUCUGCUGAGUCUCAUGAAACCAAAGAUCCCCACACAGCAGAGAGAGCUGUUGAGUGCAGUCGUAGGGCAAUGAGUAUGCUGUACCUUCAUACUUGGGAAAGCACCAUUGGACCAAAAAAAAAAAAAAAAAAAAAAGAAGAGCACAGCCUUUGUCUUUUGACUCUGCUAGCAUUGCAAAUGAUAUUCAUAAAAUGUUACAGGCUGUUUUUCCUUCAUGGUCCUUAUUUACAUCUCUUAUUGGGCACAGCGGAGCUUGGCUUUAUAUCUUUUUUACGGCCAUGUCUACUGCCUGUUAUUUUGAGAGGAAUCAUCUGAGCUUUUGAAGAUGUCAAAGCAGAGUUAAAUAAAUUCAUGCUCCAAUGUCUUCCCU
rnacentral:lncRNA from 1 species